rnacentral:misc_RNA from 1 species
GAUGAAGAACGUAGCGAAAUGCGAUACGUAAUGUGAAUUGCAAAUUCAGUGAAUCAUCGAGUCUUUGAACGCACAUUGCGCCCCCUGGUAUUCCGGGGGGCAUGCCUGUCCGAGCGUCAUUGCUGCCCUCAAGCACGGCUUGUGUGUUGGGCCCCGUCCUCCGAUCCCGGGGGACGGGCCCGAAAGGCAGCGGCGGCACCGCGUCCGGUCCUCGAGCGUAUGGGGCUUUGUCACCCGCUCUGUAGGCCCGGCCGGCGCUUGCCGAUCAACCCAAAUUUUUAUCCAGGUUGAUCUCGGAUCAGGUAGGGAUACCCGCUGAACUUAAGCAUAUCAAUAAGCGGAGGA